rnacentral:rRNA from 1 species
UACGUAGGGUGCGAGCGUUAAUCGGAAUUACUGGGCGUAAAGCGCACGUAGGCGGCGAUUUAAGUCAGAGGUGAAAGCCCGGGGCUCAACCCCGGAACAGCCUUUGAGACUGGAUUGCUUGAACAUCGGAGAGGUGAGUGGAAUUCCGAGUGUAGAGGUGAAAUUCGUAGAUAUUCGGAAGAACACCAGUGGCGAAGGCGGCUCACUGGACGAUUGUUGACGCUGAGGUGCGAAAGCGUGGGGAGCAAACAGG